rnacentral:ncRNA from 1 species
GCGGCGGGACGACCCGUCGCGCUUCCGGUCCCGCGGGGACGACCCUG